AGGUCGAGCGAGAGCGUGCAAGUCGGGACCCGAAAGAUGGUGAACUAUGCCUGUCGAGGUUGAAGCCAGAGGAAACUCUGGUGGAGGACCGUAGCGAUUCUGACGUGCAAAUCGAUCGUCAAAUUUGGGUAUAGGGGCGAAAGACUAAUCGAACCGUCUAGUAGCUGGUUCCCUUCGAAGUUUCCCUCAGGAUAGCUGGCGCUCUGUCGCAGUUUUAUCUGGUAAAGCGAAUGAUUAGAGGUCUUGGGGGCGAAACGCCCUCAACCUAUUCUCAAACUUUAAAUUGGUAAGAAGCCCGACUCGCUCGUUUGGAGCCGGGCAUGGAAUGCGAGUGCCAAGUGGGCCACUCUUGGUAAGCAGGACUGGCGAUGCGGGAUGAACCGAACGCCGGGUUAAGGCGCCCGACGCGACGCUCAUCAGAGCCCACAAAAGGUGUUGGUUGAUAUAGACAGCAGGACGGUGGCCAUGGAAGUCGGAAACCGCUAAGGAGUGUGUAACAACUCACCUGCCGAAUCAAUCAGCCCUGAAAAUGGAUGGCGCUGGAGCGUCGGGCCUAUACCCGGCCGUCGCGGCGGUACGAGCAUCGAGUUGGUGCGCUAGGCCGCGACGAGUAGGAGGGCCGCGGCGGCGGGCGUAGAAGCCUAGGGCGCGAGCCCGGGUGGAGCAGCCGUCGGUGCAGAUCUUGGUG
rnacentral:ncRNA from 1 species